GAAACAUCUAAGUAACCGCAGGAAAAGAAAUCAACCGAGAUUCCCAAAGUAGUGGCGAGCGAAAUGGGAUGAGCCUUGCACUCUUUAUUUGUAUUGUUAGCCGAACGCUCUGGAAAGUGCGGCCAUAGCAGGUGAUAGCCCUGUAGGCGAAAACAGUAUGAAAGAACUAGGUGUGCGACAAGUAGGGCGGGACACGUGAAAUCCUGUCUGAAGAUGGGGGGACCAUCCUCCAAGGCUAAAUACUCGUGAUCGACCGAUAGUGAACCAGUACCGUGAGGGAAAGGCGAAAAGAACCCCGGGAGGGGAGUGAAAUAGAUCCUGAAACCGCAUGCAUACAAACAGUCGGAGCCUCGUAAGGGGUGACGGCGUACCUUUUGUAUAAUGGGUCAGCGACUUACGUUCAGUAGCAAGCUUAACCGUAUAGGGCAGGCGUAGCGAAAGCGAGUCCGAAUAGGGCGUUCAGUUGCUGGGCGUAGACCCGAAACCAGGUGAUCUAUCCAUGGCCAGGAUGAAGGUGCGGUAACACGUACUGGAGGUCCGAACCCACUAACGUUGAAAAGUUAGGGGAUGAGCUGUGGAUAGGGGUGAAAGGCUAAACAAACCUGGAAAUAGCUGGUUCUCUCCGAAAACUAUUUAGGUAGUGCCUCGUGUCUCACCUUCGGGGGUAGAGCACUGUCAUGGUUGGGGGGUCUAUUGCAGAUUACCCCGCCAUAGCAAACUCCGAAUACCGAAGAGUGCAAUCACGGGAGACAGACAUCGGGUGCUAACGUCCGGUGUCAAGAGGGAAACAACCCAGACCGCCAGCUAAGG
rnacentral:rRNA from 1 species